GGGAGGAUAGUUAAAUAUAACAUUUAAAUUGCAAUUAAAAAGUAUCAGUAUGAUUUCUCUCA
rnacentral:tRNA from 1 species